CAUGCAAGUCGUACGCACUGGCCCAACUGAUUGAUGGUGCUUGCACCUGAUUGACGAUGGAUCACCAGUGAGUGGCGGACGGGUGAGUAACACGUAGGUAACCUGCCCCGGAGCGGGGGAUAACAUUUGGAAACAGAUGCUAAUACCGCAUAACAACAAAAGCCACAUGGCUUUUGUUUGAAAGAUGGCUUUGGCUAUCACUCCGGGAUGGACCUGCGGUGCAUUAGCUAGUUGGUAAGGUAACGGCUUACCAAGGCGAUGAUGCAUAGCCGAGUUGAGAGACUGAUCGGCCACAAUGGAACUGAGACACGGUCCAUACUCCUACGGGAGGCAGCAGUAGGGAAUCUUCCACAAUGGGCGCAAGCCUGAUGGAGCAACACCGCGUGAGUGAAGAAGGGUUUCGGCUCGUAAAGCUCUGUUGUUGGAGAAGAACGUGCGUGAGAGUAACUGUUCACGCAGUGACGGUAUCCAACCAGAAAGUCACGGCUAACUACGUGCCAGCAGCCGCGGUAAUACGUAGGUGGCAAGCGUUAUCCGGAUUUAUUGGGCGUAAAGCGAGCGCAGGCGGUUGCUUAGGUCUGAUGUGAAAGCCUUCGGCUUAACCGAAGAAGUGCAUCGGAAACCGGGCGACUUGAGUGCAGAAGAGGACAGUGGAACUCCAUGUGUAGCGGUGGAAUGCGUAGAUAUAUGGAAGAACACCAGUGGCGAAGGCGGCUGUCUGGUCUGCAACUGACGCUGAGGCUCGAAAGCAUGGGUAGCGAACAGGAUUAGAUACCCUGGUAGUCCAUGCCGUAAACGAUGAGUGCUAGGUGUUGGAGGGUUUCCGCCCUUCAGUGCCGGAGCUAACGCAUUAAGCACUCCGCCUGGGGAGUACGACCGCAAGGUUGAAACUCAAAGGAAUUGACGGGGGCCCGCACAAGCGGUGGAGCAUGUGGUUUAAUUCGAAGCUACGCGAAGAACCUUACCAGGUCUUGACAUCUUGCGCUAACCUUAGAGAUAAGGCGUUCCCUUCGGGGACGCAAUGACAGGUGGUGCAUGGUCGUCGUCAGCUCGUGUCGUGAGAUGUUGGGUUAAGUCCCGCAACGAGCGCAACCCUUGUUACUAGUUGCCAGCAUUAAGUUGGGCACUCUAGUGAGACUGCCGGUGACAAACCGGAGGAAGGUGGGGACGACGUCAGAUCAUCAUGCCCCUUAUGACCUGGGCUACACACGUGCUACAAUGGACGGUACAACGAGUCGCAAGCUCGCGAGAGUAAGCUAAUCUCUUAAAGCCGUUCUCAGUUCGGACUGUAGGCUGCAACUCGCCUACACGAAGUCGGAAUCGCUAGUAAUCGCGGAUCAGCAUGCCGCGGUGAAUACGUUCCCGGGCCUUGUACACACCGCCCGUCACACCAUGGGAGUUUGUAACGCCCAAAGUCGGUGGCCUAACCUUUAUGGAGGGAGCCGCCUAAGGCGGGACAGAUGACUGGGGUGAAGUC
rnacentral:rRNA from 1 species